rnacentral:rRNA from 1 species
AUUGAACGCUGGCGGCAGGCCUAACACAUGCAAGUCGAACGGUAACAGGAAGACGCUUGCUUCUUUGCUGACGAGUGGCGGACGGGUGAGUAAUGUCUGGGAAACUGCCUGACGGAGGGGGAUAACUACUGGAAACGGUAGCUAAUACCGCAUAACGUCGCAAGACCAAAGAGGGGGACCUUCGGGCCUCUUGCCAUCGGAUGUGCCCAGAUGGGAUUAGCUAGUAGGUGGGGUAACGGCUCACCUAGGCGACGAUCCCUAGCUGGUCUGAGAGGAUGACCAGCCACACUGGAACUGAGACACGGUCCAGACUCCUACGGGAGGCAGCAGUGGGGAAUAUUGCACAAUGGGCGCAAGCCUGAUGCAGCCAUGCCGCGUGUAUGAAGAAGGCCUUCGGGUUGUAAAGUACUUUCAGCGGGGAGGAAGGGAGUAAAGUUAAUACCUUUGCUCAUUGACGUUACCCGCAGAAGAAGCACCGGCUAACUCCGUG